rnacentral:rRNA from 1 species
UUUCGAAUCAUUCACAAUGGGCGAAAGCCUGAUGGUGCGACGCCGCGUGAGGGAUGAAGGCCUUCGGGUUGUAAACCUCUGUCACCGGGGAAGAAACGCUUCAAGUUAACAGCUUGAAGCCUGACUUAACCCGGAGAGGAAGCAGUGGCUAACUCUGUGCCAGCAGCCGCGGUAAUACAGAGACUGCAAGCGUUAUUCGGAUUCACUGGGCGUAAAGGGUGCGCAGGCGGUUGGGUGUGUCAGAUGUGAAAUCCCGAGGCUUAACCUCGGAACUGCGUCUGAAAUUACUCGACUAGAGUACUGGAGAGGGUAACGGAAUUCACGGUGUAGCAGUGAAAUGCGUAGAUAUCGUGAGGAACACCAGAGGCGAAGGCGGUUACCUGGACAGUUACUGACGCUCAGGCACGAAAGCAUGGGGAGCAAAAGGGAUUAGAUACCCUUGUAGUCCCUGAGCGGGCUGGCAAGGCGCAU